ensembl:lncRNA
AUGUAUAUGUAUUUAUAUGUAUCUUUGUAUGUAUAUAUUUAUGUAUGUGUAUAUGUAUGUACAGUGUGUAUGUGUAUGUAUGUAAACUCAGCAACAACAAAAAAAUGUCCUCGCACUGUCAACUGCGUUUAUUUUCAGCAAAUUUAAUAUGUGUAAAUAUUUGUAUGAACAUAACAAGAUUCAACAACUGAGACAUAAACUGAACAAGUUCCACAGACGUGACUAACAUAAAUUGAAUGUGUCCCUGAGCAAAGAGUGGGUCAAAAUCAAAAGUAACAGUCAGUAUCUGGUGUGGCCAUCAGCUGCAUUAAGUACUGCAGUGCAUCUCCUCCUCAUGGACUGCACCAGGUUUGCCAGUUAUUGCUGUGAGAUGUUACCCCACUCUUCCACCAAGGCACCUGCAAGUUCCCAAACCUUUCUAGGGGGAAUGGCCCUAGCCCGCACCCUCCGAUCCAACAGGUCCCAGACGUGCUCAAUGGGAUUGAGUUAUGGGCUCUUUGCUGGCCAUGGCAGAACACUAACAUUCCUGUCUUGCAGAAAAUCAUGCACAGAACGAGCAGUAUGGCUGGUGGCAUUGUCAUGCUGGAAGGUCAAGUCUGGAUGAACAUUGAGAUUGCCUGCAAUGACAACAAGGUCAGUCCGAUGAUGCUGUGACACACCGCCCCAGACCAUGACGGACCCUUUACAUCCAAAUCAAUCCCGCUCCAGAGUACAGGUCUCGUUGUAACGUUCAUUCCUUCGACGAUAAAUGCGAAUCCGACCAUCACCCCUGGUGAGACAAAACCGCGACUCGUCAAUGAAGAGCAUUUUUUGCCAGUCCUGUCUGGUCCAGCGACGGUGGGUUUGUGCCCAUAGACGACGUUGUUGCCGGUGAUGUCUGGUGAGGACCUGCCUUACAACAAGCCUACAAGCCCUCAGUCCAGCCUCUCUCAGCCUAUUGCGGACAGUCUGAGCACUGAUGGAGGGAUUGUGCGUUCCUGGUGUAACUCGGGCAGUUGUUGUUGCCAUCCUGUACCUGUCCCGCAGGUGUGAUGUUCGGAUGUACCGAUCCUGUGCAGGUGUUGUUACACGUGGUCUGCCACUGCGAGGACGAUGAGCUGUCCGUCCUGUCUCCCUGUAGCGCUGUCUUAGGCAUCUCACAGUACGGACAUCUGCAGUCCUCAUGCCUCCUUACAGCAUGCCUUAGGCAUGUUCACGCAGAAGAGCAGGGACCCUGGGCCUCUUUCUUUUGGUGUUUUUCGGAGUCAGUAGAAAGGCCUCUUUAGUGUCCUAAGUUUUCAUAAAUGUGACCUUAAUUGCCUACCGUCUGUAAGCUGUUAGUGUCUUAAGGACCGUUCCACAUGUUCAUUAAUUGUUUAUGGUUCACUGAACAAGCAUGGGAAACAGUGUUUAAACCCUUUACAUUGAAGAUCUGUGAAGUUAUUUGGAUUUUUACGAAUUAUCUUUGAAUGACAGGGUCCUAAAAAAGGGACGUUUCUUUUUUUGCUGAGUUUAUAUGUGCAUAUAUAUUUGCAAAAAAAUAUAUGGGGAUUGGAAGUGAUGCAGACAAUUACAUUGAUGGAAGCUACAUUCUAUCUGCAAUAUUAAAGCUGAUCUACCCCCUUAUAAUUUAUAGUUUUGACAACUUUUACUUAUCUACAUUUCUUUCAAAAAAUUAUAUCUUGAGUGUUGGAGUGUGCCCCUGGCUCUCCGUAAAUUUAAAAAACUUUAUUGUGCCGUUUGCUUAAUAUAAGCAAUUUGAAAUUAUUCAUGCUUUUUUUGAUAGUUAAGUAUAUUUUUGCAAUUAAAUUUACUUUUGAUACUUAAUUAAGUAUAUUUGAAACUAAAAAAUGGUUUACUUUUACUCAAGUAGUAUUUUACCAGGUGACUUUUACUUGUCAUUUUCUAUUAAGGUAUCUUUACUUUACUUUACUCAAGUAUGACAAUUGAGUAUUUUUCCACCACUGCAUGUAUGCAUCACACACAUGAUGAUAUUACUCACUAUCCUUAAUCACAUUAUCUGUUGCUUAGCGACUAGCACAAACUUAGUGUCUGGAAGUAAUGUGGAAAGUCUUUCAUUCCCAAACUAAGUCAAAGAUAUGAUUAUUAAAAGAUAAAAAUAGCCUGCCGAAGACUUCUCGCAAUAUCUCUGCAUUCAGAGAGGGGUGAGUAAGGGAGAGAAGAGGGAGAGAGGGUGAGGGAGAAAAAGAGAACAACAGAGAGAGCGAGGGGGAAGAGAGGAAGAAAGAGUGAGGGAGGGAGGAAGACAGCUAGGGAGGGAGGGGAAAUGAGACAACGAGAGAGGAAAAUAUCUCAGUUUUACUGUCUCUGUGAGGUUUGAUAAUUACUGUCUCCGUGAGGUUUGAUAAUUACUGUCUCCGUGAGGUUUGAUAAUUACUCUCUCUGUGAGGUUUGAUAAUUACUGUCUCCGUGAGGUUUGAUAAUUUGAUGUGGAGUUUUUGGAAGGCCAAUCCACGUGCAUCCUCUUAAAUGUAGAGGCAACAUCAGCAGCCUCCACAGUUUGGACCACUUCCUAUCUGUGGGACUGGGAUGGACUGCUCUGACCAUGGACCACUUCCUAUCUGUGGGACUGGGAUGGGCUGCUAUGGCCAUGGACCACUUCCUAUCUGUGGGACUGGGAUGGACUGCUAUGGCCAUGGACCACUUCCUAUCUGUGGGACUGGGAUGGGCUGCUAUGACCAUGGACCACUUCCUAUCUGUGGGACUGGGAUGGGCUGCUAUGAACAUGGACCACUUCCUAUCUGUGGGACUGGGAUGGGCUGCUAUGGCCAUGGCUCAUAACUCUACUAAGGUGCCAUUAUAAUUAGCCUACUGUUCACUCCUGAUUAGUGCACAUGGGAUAACACAAUCUUUGUGCAAGUGCAUCAGUCCCAAUUUAGAUAUCAACAGCGGAUUUGGUAUAUCUGCGCCUGAUACCUAUAUAAUAGUUAUAAACUAUUGCAGAUAGUAAAAGUCAACUGUACCCUCAGUGACCUGACAACCAGAUACAAUUCGCUGUACUGCCCAAAAAAAGGCACAUUUGCAUUUGUUUAUGGACAAACCGUAGUGAACUGUAAAUGGUUGUUUGUUUUUUGGGCAGAGUCUGUUGGCAGCCGCCAAACUGGAGGUGCACACCAAUACUCUGACAUCAAACGACAUUAACCCUCACAUCUCCGCAGUUCUCAUUUGUUCAAUGUUUUCUGUAUACACAGUAUACAGUAUACACACUGUGGCAACAUGUUCCAAUCAGUCAGGUUUAACCGUCUUUAUUCAAAGUAGAUGCAAUAGCAAAGAUAAUAUAGAUAUAUUUUUUAAACGAAAUCUAAGCAGCCUAAUACUACAUUACAUUGCCUGAAUGUUGUCAAUUGGUUAUUUUAAUCAUGUUAAUUAAGAGAUAUAAACUAGAAAUGUUUGUUUCAUAUUAACUUACAAUAUGUCCAUGCUCAUCUAUUCAAAACCUGGAUCACUCUUUCGAAUAAAGUCAAAUCAAAGCUCAUGAAUAAAGCAUUUUUAAAAUUAUUUACAAACAAUACAAACCCUGAUUAUCUGACUCGACUGGCCUGUUAGAAACCCAGGGUCUGUAGAUGUGUGCCAGGCUCUGUAGGAAUAUGUCUGAUAUUUAGUUGACUUGAUUACACAGGAGAACAACCGAAUAUCAAAC